rnacentral:rRNA from 1 species
AGUGAAUAGAUACCCAGGUAGUCCCAGCCGUAAACGAUGCUCGCUAGGUGUCAGGCAUGGCGCGACCGUGUCUGGUGCCGCAGGGAAGCCGUGAAGCGAGCCACCUGGGAAGUACGGCCGCAAGGCUGAAACUUAAAGGAAUUGGCGGGGAGCACAACAACGGGUGGAGCCUGCGGUUUAAUUGGACUCAACGCCGGACAACUCACCGGGGGCGACAGCAAUAUGUAGGCCAAGCUGAAGACUUUGCCUGAAUCGCUGAGAGGAGGUGCAUGGCCGUCGCCAGUUCGUACUGUGAAGCAUCCUGUUAAGUCAGGCAACGAGCGAGACCCGUGCCCACUGUUACCAGCAUGUCCUGGUACGGAU